ACUGAGUUCACCACUCAGCGAUAGUUUUGUAUGCUGUCGCAGGUGAGAAUAGAGAUAGAGCAGUUAAGUGAGAUUCUUGCAGCUGCACCUUGAAGACUGCUUGUGACUAGUCUCAGAUAUAUUAUAAGUAUACCCUUGUAUAUUAGAUUUUGAUUAUGUAUAUAAAUAUAAAUAUGUGUAUAUUAUUUGAGCAGUUGUACAAAAA
rnacentral:misc_RNA from 1 species